AGAGUUUGAUCCUGGCUCAGAAUCAACGCUGGCGGCGUGCCUAACACAUGCAAGUCGAACGCGAAAGGGACUUCGGUCCUGAGUAGAGUGGCGAACGGGUGAGUAACGCGUGGGUGACCUACCCUCGAGUGGGGGAUAACGUUCCGAAAGGGACGCUAAUACCGCAUGACAUUCCUGGUUUGAAGACUGGGAAAUCAAAGCCGGGGACCGCAAGGCCUGGCGCUUGAGGAGGGGCCCGCGUCUGAUUAGCUAGUUGGCGGGGUAACGGCCCACCAAGGCGACGAUCAGUAGCCGGCCUGAGAGGGCGGACGGCCACACUGGGACUGAGACACGGCCCAGACUCCUACGGGAGGCAGCAGUGGGGAAUUGUUCGCAAUGGGCGCAAGCCUGACGACGCAACGCCGCGUGGAGGAUGAAGGUCUUCGGAUUGUAAACUCCUGUUGAUCGGGACGAAAAGCUUCAACCUAAUACGUUGAAGACUGACGGUACCGGUUGAGGAAGCCACGGCUAACUCUGUGCCAGCAGCCGCGGUAAUACAGAGGUGGCAAGCGUCGUUCGGAAUUACUGGGCGUAAAGGGCGCGUAGGCGGCCUUCUAAGUCGGACGUGAAAGCCCCAGGCUUAACCUGGGAACUGCGUCUGAUACUGGGAGGCUUGGAUUCGGGAGAGGGAUGUGGAAUUCCAGGUGUAGCGGUGAAAUGCGUAGAUAUCUGGAGGAACACCGGUGGCGAAGGCGGCAUCCUGGACCGAGAUCGACGCUGAGGCGCGAAAGCUAGGGGAGCAAACGGGAUUAGAUACCCUGGUAGUCC
rnacentral:rRNA from 1 species